rnacentral:rRNA from 1 species
AAUAAUCACAACUUUCAACAAUGGAUCUCUUGGUUCUGGCAUCGAUGAAGAACGCAGCGAAAUGCGAUAAGUAGUGUGAAUUGCAGAAUUCAGUGAAUCAUCGAAUCUUUGAACGCACAUUGCGCCCCUUGGUAUUCCAUGGGGCAUGCCUGUUCGAGCGUCAUUUACACCCUCAAGCUCUGCUUGGUGUUGGGCGUCUGUCCCGCCUAUGCGUGGACUCGCCUUAAAGGUAUCGGCGGCGGCCUUUGCCAGCUUCUCGCGCAGCGAAAUGCGCUUCUCGAGGCGAAGCAGUAGGCACGCGUCCGCGAAGUUCACCUUCAUGACUUGACCUCGGAUCAGGUAGGGAUACCCGCUGAACUUAAGCAUAUCAAUAAGCGGAGGAAA